UGGGGAAUAUUGCACAAUGGACGGAAGUCUGAUGCAGCAACGCCGCGUGCGGGAUGACGGCCUUCGGGUUGUAAACCGCUUUUUCUCAUGACGAAGUUUUUUGACGGUAGUGGGGGAAGAAGCACCGGCUAACUACGUGCCAGCAGCCGCGGUGAUACGGAGGGUGCGAGCGUUGUCCGGAAUUAUUGGGCGUAAAGAGCUUGUAGGCGGUUUGUCGCGUCGAUAGUGCAAACUCAGUGCUUAGCGCUGUGCCGGCUGUUGAUACGGGCAGACUAGAGGAAGGUAGUGGAGAAUGGAGUUCCCAGUGGGGCUGUGGAAUGCGCAGAUAUAGCGAGGAACACCAGUAGCGAAGGCGGUUCUCUGAGCCUUUACUGUCGCUGAGAAGCGAAAGCGUGGGGAGCGAACAGG
rnacentral:rRNA from 1 species